GUGCCAGCCGCUGCGGUAAUACGUAGGUGGCAAGCGUUGUCCGGAUUUAUUGGGCGUAAAGCGAGCGCAGGCGGUUUCUUAAGUCUGAUGUGAAAGCCCCCGGCUCAACCGGGGAGGGUCAUUGGAAACUGGGAGACUUGAGUGCAGAAGAGGAGAGUGGAAUUCCAUGUGUAGCGGUGAAAUGCGUAGAUAUAUGGAGGACACCAGUGGCGAAGGCGGCUCUCUGGUCUGUAACUGACGCUGAGGCUCGAAAGCGUGGGGAGCGAACAGGAUUAGAUACCCUGGUAGUCCACGCCGUAAACGAUGAGUGCUAAGUGUUGAGGUUUCGCCUUCAGUGCUGCAGCAAACGCAUUAAGCACUCCGCCUGGGGAGUACGACCGCAAGGUUGAAACUCAAAGGAAUUGACGGGGCCCGCACAAGCGGUGGAGCAUGUGGUUUAAUUCGAAGCAACGCGAAGAACUUACCAGGUCUUGACAUCCUUUAGACCACUCUAGAGAUAGAGCUUCCCUUCGGGGCAAAGU
rnacentral:rRNA from 1 species